rnacentral:rRNA from 1 species
AGUCAAGUAAUUAAGUGCAUGUGGUGGAUGCCUUGGCAGUCAGAGGCGAUGAAAGACGUGAUAGCCUGCGAAAAGCUCCGGGGAGGCGGCAAAUAUCCUUUGAUCCGGAGAUGUCUGAAUGGGGGAACCCACCUACUUUAAGGUAGGUAUUGCAACAUGAAUACAUAGUGUUGCAAGGCGAACGAGGGGAAGUGAAACAUCUCAGUACCCUUAGGAAAAGAAAUCAAUUGAGAUUCCCUCAGUAGCGGCGAGCGAACGGGGAUCAGCCCAUUAAGUUAUGUGUGUUUUAGUGGAACGCUCUGGGAAGUGCGAACGUAGAGGGUGAUAUUCCCGUACACGAAAGGGCACACAUAAUGAUGACGAGUAGGGCGAGGCACGUGAAACCUUGUCUGAAUAUGGGGGGACCAUCCUCCAAGGCUAAAUACUCCUGACUGACCGAUAGUGAACCAGUACCGUGAGGGAAAGGCGAAAAGAACCCCUGUGAGGGGAGUGAAAUAGAUCCUGAAACCGCAUGCAUACAAGCAGUGGGAGCACCUUCGUGGUGUGACUGCGUACCUUUUGUAUAAUGGGUCAGCGACUUAUAUUCAGUAGCAAGGUUAACCGUAUAGGGGAGCCGUAGAGAAAUCGAGUCUUAAUAGGGCGUUUAGUUGCUGGGUAUAGACCCGAAACCAGGCGAUCUAUCCAUGAGCAGGUUGAAGGUUGGGUAACACUAACUGGAGGACCGAACCCACUGUCGUUGAAAAGCCAGGGGAUGACUUGUGGAUAGGGGUGAAAGGCUAAUCAAGCCUGGUGAUAGCUGGUUCUCCCCGAAAGCUAUUUAGGUAGCGCCUCGGACGAAUACCAUAGGGGGUAGAGCACUGUUUCGGCUAGGGGGUCAUCCCGACUUACCAAACCGAUGCAAACUCCGAAUACCUAUGAGUACUAA